UACGUAGGGGGCAAGCGUUGUCCGGAAUUAUUGGGCGUAAAGAGCUCGUAGGCGGCUUGUCACGUCGGGGGUGAAAGCCCGGGGCUUAACCCCGGGUCUGCAUUCGAUACGGGCAGGCUAGAGUGUGGUAGGGGAGAUCGGAAUUCCUGGUGUAGCGGUGAAAUGCGCAGAUAUCAGGAGGAACACCGGUGGCGAAGGCGGAUCUCUGGGCCAUUACUGACGCUGAGGAGCGAAAGCGUGGGGAGCGAACAGG
rnacentral:rRNA from 1 species